UCGACAUCUCUUAAUUCUGUUGCUCUCUAGGGCAGCUAAGCAAUCAAUUUGAGCUUAAACAAAUAAAUGUUUAUUGAGCAAGCUGAAUUCUUAUAGAGAGUCAUGGACCCUUGAAGGAAGAAAACAUCGAAGGAGGAAAGAGAAGGCUUUGACAUAAAUUGAGAGGAACAAGGAGAAAGAGGUUCGUUGCUCUGGAAACCAAGGAAGAAUCAAAGAGGAGAAUGGAAGAUGUCACAUAUCUAAGAAUUCUUUAUUGGAUUGGGCAAUUGAGGAUUCACAGAUGAUCAGAGGAGCCAGAGACAAAUCAGAGUGGUCAGUCUCUGCCUACCAAAUUCAGAAUCUCUUGACAGGGUUCUGGUUUGGGUAUGACUACAUUAGUAGCUA
rnacentral:lncRNA from 1 species